AGUUCGAGGCCAGCCGGGGUACACAUUUU
rnacentral:piRNA from 1 species